rnacentral:rRNA from 1 species
AUUGAACGCUGGCGGCAGGCUUAACACAUGCAAGUCGAACGAGCGGCGGACGGGUGAGUAAUGUCUGGGAAACUGCCUGCUGGAGGGGGAUCACUACUGGAAACGGUAGCUAAUACCGCAUACCAUCAGAUGUGCCCAGAUGGGAUUAGCUAGUAGGUGGGGUAAAGGCUCACCUAGGCGACGAUCCCUAGCGGGUCUGAGAGGAUGACCGGCCACACUGGAACGUAGACACGGUCCAGACUCCUACGGGAGGCAGCAGUGGGGAAUAUUGCACAAUGGGCGCAAGCCUGAUGCAGCCAUGCCGCGUGGGUGAAGAAGGCCUUCGGGUUGUAAAGCACUUUCAGCGAGGAGGCGUUACUCGCAGAAGAAGCACCGGCUAACUCCGUGCCAGCAGCCGCGGUAAUAC